GGAAGAGUAGGAAAGAGGCAGAGUCUUGUUUAAACUCAAAUACCUUCAGUUAAUUAGGAAACAUAGCAAGAUAAAUAAUGAAAACCAUGUGAAAGGCUCACCUCUUUGAGGCUGUAAGAACUGUUGACAUUCCUUGCCCUUCUACACUUGAUCACCUGCAGCUCCUGGAGUCAAGUGGAGAUGUGAUGCUUUUAGCCUGUAUUCUUAAAGGACCUGUAUUCGUAAAGGAAAAGUAAGUUUCUAGUCCUUGAGGCUAUGAAGAAGACUUCAAAAUUUGAUCCCAGUGCAUCCUAAAGAGGAUCCAUCAUUGAUCAUACUGCGCAAAUAAAUUUUGUGAAUUUAAGUAACUGUGAGGGAUAUUCAACAGAUUACGUGACAAUGGAGAGUAUCACAGUAAAGAACAUCUAUGGAAAACUGAAGCAC